GUCUAUGGCCAUACCACCCUGAACUCGCCCAAUUUGAUCUCAGAAGCUAAGGAGAGUCAGACCUGGUAAGUAUUUGGAUAGAAGAACAGUAUCAUUAUUUGUUUUAAAUUGUGGGAUCCAGAGAAA
rnacentral:rRNA from 1 species